GACGAACGCUGGCGGCGUGCUUAACACAUGCAAGUCGAACGGAAAGGCCCUGCUCUUGUGGGGUGCUCGAGUGGCGAACGGGUGAGUAACACGUGAGUAACCUGUCCCUGACUUUGGGAUAACUUCAGGAAACUGGGGCUAAUACCGGAUAGGAGCUCCUGCUGCAUGGUGGGGGUUGGAAAGUUUCGGCGGUUGGGGAUGGACUCGCGGCUUAUCAGCUUGUUGGUGGGGUAGUGGCUUACCAAGGUUUUGACGGGUAGCCGGCCUGAGAGGGUGACCGGCCACAUUGGGACUGAGAUACGGCCCAGACUCCUACGGGAGGCAGCAGUGGGGAAUAUUGCACAAUGGGCGGAAGCCUGAUGCAGCAACGCCGCGUGCGGGAUGACGGCCUUCGGGUUGUAAACCGCUUUCGCCUGUGACGAAGCGUGAGUGACGGUAAUGGGUAAAGAAGCACCGGCUAACUACGUG
rnacentral:rRNA from 1 species